GGGCCAGUAGUUCAGCGGCUAGAACGGGCGUCUUAUACACUCCAUGUCGGAGGUUCGAGUCCUCCCUGGCCCA
rnacentral:tRNA from 1 species